rnacentral:pre_miRNA from 1 species
GAGACACCCCCAUGGAGCAGUACUUGUUUCUGUGAGACUUUGGUGCUCACUGAGUCUGCCCCGUAAGUGUGUUGCU